GGAGGAUUCCCGCGAAGUAAGGAAUGCGCAAAUGUCGUGGGGAAGAAAAAUCAUAUUGCAGAUCUUGUGCUGCUUGCCCACGCCAUUAAAAGAGAGCAUUCUAACCAUUGCCUUUUUGUUGUGAAUGCAGCUUUUCCUCACUAGAACACGUCCCUGACUCUUGUUCUGCUGGAGCUCUCCCCAUGCUGAAAUGGACUUAUUCACUCUCCACUGUCACCAAGUGCUGCUCAUAGGCGUUUUCUCUAUAAUCUUGCAGGGACUUUAUCUGUAAGUUGGCACUAUGUAAAUAAAUAAUAGUUUUAGUGAAAUAAGUUUAUACUUCUCAGCAGUGGCUGUAUUUCCUGAGGAGGCUGAGGAAAUUUGGUAUGUCGGCCAAGAUCCUCAGCAGGUUCUACAGCUGCAUUGUGGAGAGCACACUGACCAGCUGCAUCACUGCACGGUACGGCAGCACUAAUGCUAUGGAAACGCCUGCAGAGAGUGAUAACAACUGCAGAGAAGAUCACCAGGACCUCACUGCCCUCUCUGCAGAGCAUCUACCAUAGCAGAAUCCAGAAGAGAGCUGCCUCCAUCCUCAAAGACACCACACACCCCCAACACGGACUGUUCACACUUCUGCCCUCGAAGGUGCUUUAGCAAAAAGGAAAGUUUUAAGCCUAAUCUUAAAAGUAGAGAUAGUGUCUGUCUCCCAAAUCCAAGCUGGAAGCUGGUUCCACAGAAGAGGGGCCUGAAAACUGAAGGCUCUC